UGACAUGUGAUUGGUAGGGAAAUGAAAGAUUAAAUUUAAUAAAAGUCACCAGAGAUCUUCAAGAAUAAGACUGGUACCCCAAGUGUAAAAGAAAAAGACACAGACCAUAAAAGGGAGAAAAAACUUUUGUCUUGGGUGUUGAAGGAUCCUGAGAAGUACAUUGCAUUCUCUGGCAUUCUGAAAGGUGGAAAGCAAGCAGCUGCAUAAAGGAUGCUUGAAAAUCAAGAAGGAAAAAAAAAACAUCGAGUUUGGGUGCUAUAAGAAGCACGAAGCACAAGAAGAAAAGAAAUAUUUUGUUAACCACAAAUUGAAAUCGGAAAGAUUUUAUCCAGAAGCAUUCAAUGUCAUUAAAUACAAGAAGUCUAAAAAAUACCUGCUUUAUAUAAUAGUUCUCUGAACAAGCUCUUGGUAACUUGCAGCCUGCGAAGUGUAUGACUCUAGCAUUGUGGUUAGAGCCCUUCUACAACUACCAUCCCACACGCCCACCAAGGAAGCAGGCAGCAAGGAUGCUUGAUCAUUCUAAAGUAAAUAUAAGGAAUAUUUCUUGGAUACAAGCACCUUUAAAAAUAGAAAGGCAAGAAGAUUCACACACAGAGCCUUUGAAAAUGUACAAUACUUUUGUCUUACAAAAACAUCUGUUGCUCAGAUGAGUAUUUGGAACACUGAGUGCUUCAGAUUAUCCCUCAGAAGGUGUGCUGGGUGGUGGCUCUCUGUGGAUUUGGCCCCAGAGGAGGUCAACCCGACUCCCUGACCUGUUGGCUCAGCAAUUUCCCAGUGGUCAGCCCGUCUUGCCAUAAUCAUAUGCUGGCGCCCCAAGCUUGUUUUUUAACUAUACUCUGUACCUUCUAAUGAAAGCAUCCCAAAAUAUCCCCAACCACUCAAAUUCUGGGGCAGCCAUGACCUCACACUGGACUGCUGGACACACUGCGUUUACUCAGACGGAAUGGAUGAUAAAAGUCUCCCUGCCACGAUGCCUGAAGUGCUCGCUCUCUCUCUGCUAGAUUUCAUCACUUCAUAGCUUAUGAUUACUUGCAUGAAUUCCAGCAUCUUUGAUAUGAAAGCUGAUUAGGAAGCAUUAACCCAAUACACAACACCACAAUUUCAUGUGACUUGGAGCCUUUACAAUAAUGAAAAGAAAAAAUAGGGA